rnacentral:tRNA from 1 species
GUACCUGUAGCAUAACUGGAUAAUGCACUCGGUUUCUACCCGAGCGAUUGUGGGUUCGAACCCACCAGGUACA